rnacentral:rRNA from 1 species
GGCGCAAGGGUGAGUAACACGUAGGCAACCUGCCUUCAGGACGGGGAUAACUCCGAGAAAUCGGGGCUAAUACCCGAUAACGCAGCGGCACCGCAUGGUGACAGUUGUUAAAUGCUACGGCGCCUGAAGAUGGGCCUGCGUCCCAUUAGGUAGUUGGCGGGGUAACGGCCCACCAAGCCGACGAUGGGUAGCUGGUCUGAGAGGACGAUCAGCCACACUGGAACUGAGACACGGUCCAGACUCCUACGGGAGGCAGCAGUGAGGAAUAUUGCGCAAUGUCCGAAAGGGUGACGCAGCGACGCCGCGUGGAGGAUGAAGGCCCUCUGGGUCGUAAACUCCUGUUGAGAGGGAAGAAUGGAGCGCUAUAGGCGUUCAUGACGGUACCUCUAGAGAAAGCACCGGCUAACUACGUGCCAGCAGCCGCGGUAAUACGUAGGGUGCAAGCGUUGUCCGGAUUCACUGGGUGUAAAGGGAGCGCAGGCGGGUUUUCAAGUCAUUGGUGAAAUUCUCAGGCUCAACCUGGGGACUGCCAGUGAUACUGGAGAUCUUGAGUGCA